CAACUGGGGGAUCGCUCGGCUCGAGUGCCGAUGAAGGUCGUGACAAGCUGCGAUAAGCUGCGGGGAGACGCAAGAAUGUCUUGGAUCCGCAGAUGGCUGAAUGGGACUUCCUGUUUCUUCGGAAACAAUCGCGAUGCGAUAGGGAACCCCCCGAAUUGAAGCAUCUUAGUAGGGGGAGGAAAUGAAAUCAACAGAGAUUCCGUGAGUAGUGGCGAAUGAAAACGGAAUAGGACAAGCCGAAUCCCGACUCGAAAGUGAGGGAGAUGUGGUUUGCAGUCUUUUGUCUAAGUCAGUGAAGGAGAAGUUGCCUGGAACGGCACAGCCAAAGAGGGUGAAAGUCCCGUAACCAUACCUGAUAUGACCACGUGACUGUAAGAGAGUAGCGUGCGCUGGAAAUCGCGCGUGAAUAUGGGAGGCAGAAACUUCCAAUCCUAAAUACAACUCGAGACCGAUAGUUUACAAGUAACGUGAGUGAAAGCUGAAAAGUAUCCUUGGCGGGAUGUGAAAAGAACGUGAAACCAGUUGGGUACAGGCUGACAAGGCGUGAAAGCGAUGAUAUGAGCAGCGUCUUGUCGUGCGUUUAGAAAAAUGCCCCAGGGAGUUUUGAUCAAUGGCGAGGUUAAGGGGUUGAUCCCCGAAGCCGAAGGGAAACCGACAAGUCCGCAGCAGUUUACUGUGAGGGACGAAGUGUGCUCGCUUGGAGUCAAUGGUGGAAGACCUGAAGCCCGUCGAUCUAUGCCUGGCCAGAUUGAAGCCCGAUGAAAGUUGGGUGGAGGAUCGCACCGUUGCUGAUCUGCAAAUCGCUCGGACGAGCUGGGUAUAGGGGUGAAAGUCCAAUCGAGAUGGGCAAUAGCAGGUUCCGCGUGAGACUACUCGUAGGUAGACGUUCGUGGAGAUAGAUUACGCUGUAGAGCACUGAUUGUGCGUUUAGGGGGAGCGAUCCCUCGGCGUGCUGCCAAACUCCGAAGGUGUAAUCGUUGUAGAUACGAGCAGUGAGUGAUGGUGGGUAAGCUACCAUUACAAAAGGUGAACAAACCAGCCUGAAGUUAAGGUCCCUAAAUAUCAGUUAAGUGUCACAGACAAACCGUGUCCGUGGUCGAAAACAACCAGAAGGUGGGCUUAGAAGCAGCCAUCCUUGAAAGAGUUCGUAACAGAUCACUGGUCUAGCUUGCGGGCCGGGAAAAGGGACGGGGCUCAAACUGAUUACCGAUACUUCAGACCAUCGAAAGAUGAUGUGGUAACGCGGCGUCGUGCUUGGGUGGAAGGUAGGCUUUGAGGUCUACUGGACCGGGUACGAAUGAGAGUCUUGGGAAGAGUAGCAGCACAGUGUGGUGAGAAUCCGCACCGCCUUAUAAACCAGGGUUCCUCGGCACUGUUUAUCAGCCGAGGGUUAGCCGGUCCUAAGGUCAUUCUUAACCGAAAUGAUCGAAAGGGAAUAGCGUUAAUAUUCGUUAGCCCCUUGUACAAUUAAUGGCGACGGCUUGGGCAAAGCAUUCAGAUCAUAUGCCAGGUCUGUCUGUACCAAAUUUCUGGAGAACUGUCACAGUGAGAAGGAAAUAAAGUCCCAGGUCCCAUGAAAAGCCGUACAAGGUGACCGUACCGAGAACUGAAACAGGUGUUUUAGGGUGAGUAGCCUAAGGCGUAUCGGAUACAAGUAUCGCGAGGGAACUCGGCAAAAUGGCUCCGUAACUUCGGGAGAAGGAGUGCCAGAUCAGAGAUGAUCUGGUCGCAGUGACUAGGGAGCUCCGACUGUUUAAUAAAAACAUAGGGGACUGCCAGAUCGAAAGGUUGUGUAUAGUCCCUGAAUCCUGCUCAGUGCUGGUA
rnacentral:rRNA from 1 species